GAAUAUUGCACAAUGGGCGCAAGCCUGAUGCAGCGACGCCGCGUGGGGGAUGACGGCCUUCGGGUUGUAAACCUCUUUCGACAGGGACGAAGCUUUUUGUGACGGUACCUGUAUAAGAAGCACCGGCUAACUACGUGCCAGCAGCCACGGUCAUACGUAGGGUGCGAGCGUUUUCCGGAAUUACUGGGCGUAAAGAGCUCGUAGGUGGUUUGUCGCGUCGUCUGUGAAAUUCCGGGGCUUAACUCCGGACGUGCAGGCGAUACGGGCAAUACUUGAGUGCUGUAGGGGAGACUGGAAUUCCUGGUGUAGCGGUGAAAUGCGCAGAUAUCAGGAGGAACACCAAUGGCGAAGGCAGGUCUCUGGGCAGUAACUGACGCUGAGGAGCGAAAGCAUGGGUAGCGAACA
rnacentral:rRNA from 1 species